rnacentral:lncRNA from 10 species
GGGGGCAGGGCGUACCUUCAGUGAAAACAAAAAGAAAAAAAUCAGAUCUAAUGUUUUAAAGAGAGGAGUCUGGUGGUUCUGGUUGACGAGUUUAUUACAAAAGAGCGCCAUCAUCCCCCUCCAUAAUGGAAUAGAAUCUCAGCCAAGAGACAAGACGCAACUUCACACCCACCAGGAUAACAGGAAUCAAAAAGACAGACCAUAGCAAGGACUGAGAGGUUGCAGAGGAACUGGAACCUGCAUGCACUGUGGGUGGGAUUGGAACAGGGUGCAGCCACUCUAGAGAACAGUCUAAGCGUUCCUGAAAAAAUUGAACAUGGAAUUACCAUAUGCCCCGCCCGAGAGACAUGAGAACAAAGACCCGUAUGUUAAUGUUCACAGCAGUGUUAGAGCCGGGAAGUGGAGGCAGUCCAAAUGUCUAUCAGCUAUCAAACAAGAAAUAAAAUGUAGUCUGUUCGCACACAUGGAGCAUCAUACAGUCACAAAUGGCAGGAAGGAGCCACGUCUAUGAUGGCAUCGAGGCACCUUUGAAACCUUUUGCUCAGUGGAAGAAGGCAGGUGCAGAAGGCAACCUGCAUGCCUGUGUGAUUCCAUUGCCAUGACAUUUCCAGAGCAGACAGACCCAUGGAGACAGAGAGCAGAGCAGCAGGUACCAGGGUCUGAGGAGUGAUCCCCAGUAGGUAGAAGGUCAGGGGUGGUGGAGUGAUCCCCAGCAGGUAGAAGGUCAGGGGUGGUGGAGUGAUCCCCAGCAGGUAGAAGGUCAGGGGCUGAGGAGUGAUCCCCAGCAGGUAGAAGGUCAGGGGCUGAGGAGUGAUCCCCAGCAGGUAGAAGGUCAGAGGCUGAGGAGUGAUCCCCAGCAGGUAGAAGGUCAGGGGCUGAGGAGUGAUCCCCAGCAGGUAGAAGGUCAGGGGCUGAGGAGUGAUCCCCAGCAGGUAGAAGGUCAGGGGUGGAGGAGUGAUCCCCAGCAGGUAGAAGGUCAGGGGCUGAGGAGUGAUCCCCAGCAGGUAGAAGGUCAGGGGUGGAGGAGUGAUCCCCAGCAGGUAGAAGGUCAGGGGUUGAGGAGUGAUCCCCAGCAGGUAGAAGGUCAGGGGCUGAGGACUGAUCCCCAGCAGGUAGAAGGUCAGGGGCGGAGGAGUGAUCCCCAGCAGGUAGAAGGUUUCUCUUAGGGGAUGAAAAUGUUUUGAAAUAGAUUAUCGUGUUGGUUACGCAACUCUGUGAAUAUGCUGAAAUUAAUUCAAUUGUACAUUGUAAAUGGGUGAAUAGUGUCUCCAUAAAGCUAUUUAAACAAAAGAAGAUGCAAAGUGAGUGUAGGUUCCAUGACUAUUGAAUGAGUAGAAAAUUAAGAUUCUUCACAAAGACAAAGCAAAUUCAUAGGUUAAAAAACUAAAAUCUUAGAAAGUGUUAGGAAUACUGAUUCAAUUUCUGAAAGUAUGGGUAUGAAAGCUGCUCAAUUCUAAUUCCACAGACAGUGGAAAUAUGAGCCUAAAACCCCACUGUUGCUGAUCAGCAUGUGGGCCAGACAGACAGGGAGGCAUGUGGAGAAGAGGCAGGAAGAAGGGUGGAGAGGCAUGAGAGAGCCUCUUUCCCUGGUGAUAAUACAUCUUGCAGCAGAGACUCAAGUCCUUGCUGUGGAAGGGUGAGAAUAGGGACAGACCGUAGCCGCCAUGAGGAGGCGGAGCUGGCGUGUGUGCGCCUCAUCAUGCACAGUACGGGGCUUGCAGCACUGGGAAGGGCAUCACCGUUUUGCUGAUUAAAAUUAAGAAGUCAGAAUAUACAACUAUGCGUUCAGAAUGUUUGGAAAAUUGCCUUAUGAGUAAUAACUAGAACAGAUUUGUAGCCCAAAGAAGACAGAACAGAAUAAAUAAAUGUGUGUUGAUAAUUGAGGAGGAGCUAUGCUGGCUGCAGAGCUGACCAAGGGUGGCAAGCAACUUUUACUUUAAAAUUGCCUGAAAGCAGGAGUCUCUUGU